rnacentral:rRNA from 1 species
AUUGAACGCUGGCGGCAGGCCUAACACAUGCAAGUCGAGCGGAUGAAGGGAGCUUGCUCCUGGAUUCAGCGGCGGACGGGUGAGUAAUGCCUAGGAAUCUGCCUGGUAGUGGGGGAUAACGUCCGGAAACGGGCGCUAAUACCGCAUACGUCCUGAGGGAGAAAGUGGGGGAUCUUCGGACCUCACGCUAUCAGAUGAGCCUAGGUCGGAUUAGCUAGUUGGUGGGGUAAAGGCCUACCAAGGCGACGAUCCGUAACUGGUCUGAGAGGAUGAUCAGUCACACUGGAACUGAGACACGGUCCAGACUCCUACGGGAGGCAGCAGUGGGGAAUAUUGGACAAUGGGCGAAAGCCUGAACCAGCCAUGCCGCGUGUGUGAAGAAGGUCUUCGGAUUGUAAAGCACUUUAAGUUGGGAAGAAGGGCAGUAAGUUAAUACCUUGCUGUUUUGACGUUACCAACAGAAUAAGCACCGGCUAACUUCGUG